rnacentral:rRNA from 1 species
AUUGAACGCUGGCGGCAGGCCUAACACAUGCAAGUCGAACGAGUGGCGGACGGGUGAGUAAGGUCUGGGAAACUGCCUGAUGGAGGGGGCUAACUACGGGAAACGGUAGCAAAGACUGCAUACCGCCGGUUGUGGCCAGAUGGGAUUAGCUAGUAGGUGGGGUAAAGGCACACCUAGGGGACGAUCCCCAGCUGGUCUGAGAGGGUGACCGGCCACACUGGGACUGAGACACGGCCCAGACUCCUACGGGAGGCAGCAGUAGGGAAUCUUGGGCAAUGGGCGCAAGUCUGACGCAGCCAUGCCGCGUGUGUGAAGAAGGUCUUCGGGUUGUAAAGUACUGUUAGCAGAGAGGCGUUACCCGCAGAGAAAGCAACGGCUAACUCCGUGCCAGCAGCCGCGGUAAUAC